rnacentral:rRNA from 1 species
GACGAACGCUGGCGGCGUGCUUAACACAUACAAGUCGAACGGAAAGGCCCUGCUUGCAGGGUACUCGAGUGGCGAACGGGUGAGUAACACGUGGGUGAUCUGCCCUGCACUUCGGGAUAAGCUUGGGAAACUGGGUCUAAUACCGGAUAGGAGCCAUCUUUAGUGUGGUGGUUGGAAAGUUUUUUCGGUGUAGGAUGAGCUCGCGGCCUAUCAGCUUGUUGGUGGGGUAAUGGCCUACCAAGGCGGCGACGGGUAGCCGGCCUGAGAGGGUGUACGGCCACAUUGGGACUGAGAUACGGCCCAGACUCCUACGGGAGGCAGCAGUGGGGAAUAUUGCACAAUGGGCGCAAGCCUGAUGCAGCGACGCCGCGUGGGGGAUGAAGGCCUUCGGGUUGUAAACUCCUUUCGCUAGGGACGAAGCUUUUUGUGACGGUACCUAGAUAAGAAGCACCGGCUAACUACGU